AGUGAAAGUAUUUAAGAAAGAGAUGGAAAACUACGAGAAACACAUGUCCAAGGUUCUUCAUGAGGAGAUUGGUGGGAUAAAGGCAGAAACUUCCCGCAUAUCAGAGGACUUGAAGAAGUUCCAGGAGGCACAGGACAUGGCUGUCACCCAGGAUCUCUGUGAGGAGGUUGACAAGUUAAAGACAACCCACAUCCUCAUGGAAGAAGACAUAAAGAAGCUUAAACAGUCUCUUGCCUUAG